GUGGAUAAAUCUGCUUUCAUGGAGAAUGAAGAGGUUGUAGCAAAUCAAGGGAAUGGAACAAAGAGAAAGAGCCAGUUCCAACUUAAAUCUGUGGAGAGUUUUUAUUUGGGGGGGCUAUGUCAAUUGCAGCCAUGGUGUUUGGAGAUUACAAGGGUCGUUAGCUGUAUCUAGAGGGAUUGGUGAUUCAUAUCUUAAGAAAUGGGUAAUUGCAGAGGCC